GUCCAGCCCCCUUUCCAGACGGGACUUCCCUGCAGUGCGGGGACCUGAGCGCGGCAGUAGCGCUGGGAUCCCACCGGGCGUGGAUGGCUGGAUCUGAGGAGCGCCGUGGGCUGCUCCGCGGCGCCCGCCCAGUCCGCAGCUGUCCCACUGAGAGCUUCCCAUUUAGCCAGCUGGCGUCUGUUCCCUGCCGACUCGAAAGGGAGGCGAGGGACCGGGCAGGGCGAGCGAGCAAUGAAAGACGAGACCGGGCCGACUCCGACGGAGCGUGUUUGUCAGCGCUGACAAGUGAAGGCCACCUCCCCACCGACUGGGAGGACGCAGCUGGGGUUGGGGACUUCUGGGGGGCAAGCUCGAGGAUCCGAGCUGGGCGGGUGCUCCCGCGCGGUGAAGGGUGGGGCUGGAAUGGGGGAGUGCUAAUCGCCCUCUGGCUGGAAGGAAUGUGGGCGGUGGAGGGUGGGGUAGUGUUAGCGGGUGGUGAGCCUUUUUCGAGUGGGAAGGAAACUUUUUCUUAACGUGGCGGCUGUCACGUCAGGUGCUAAGCAAGGACCUUACAACGGGAACCCUAAAUCUUCAGCUGUAUCCACUGUUGACCUCCAAAGUUUAAAGGUAUAGGUACUGCCCUGUGCAGAGGCCCCCACACCUGGAAUCCCAGCGGCUCAGGAAGCUGAGACAGGAUUGAGAGUUCAAAGCCAGCCUCAGCAAAAGUGAGGCCCUAAGCAACUCAGUGAAACCCUGUCUCUAAAUAAAAUACAAUAGGGCUGGGGAUGUGGCUCAGGGGCUGAGUGGCUGUAAGGAUGGCCUUAGGCCUUAGCCUAGGCAACUCCAUUUUAAAACUCUAGUUUGAAACCUGCAGUCUCACCAGCACACCUAUGGAGCUCUCCAGUAUGGCCCUCAGACCCAAACAAGUCACUUCUCCCCACCCUGACAAACUCAGAGUGAACUCUUUGGCAUGUUGCCCUCUGCCUGAUAUGAGCAAGAAGCAAGAAUAUCAGGGUGGGGACCACCAGACCAGAUGCUUUAACCUCAGGAGGAAUGACAUCACUGAGAAAUCCUGUAGCAGCUGAUAGGGAUUGACAGAUGGUCAAAAGCCCAAAAACUUUGUAUAAAUGAUGGAGCAAAUGAACAGACAUUCAGCCAGCUGACACUGAUGCACACAAGUCUGAGAGCCUGAUGAGGACCUGGACUGACAUCCCAGCUCUUCUCAUCUGCCUGAUCUUCUGCAUUAUUCUCACCUCUCAAACUCUACAGCAGUCUCUGGACUCUGGUGAGAAAAGGACACCUCCCUGUGACCGCCUCCUCAGGCAGCCAUCAGCUCCACCCCAGGAGAAGCUUGCCUUGGUUCGUGACCUGAUCACUGUUGUCUGAGUGAGUACACCUUCUGGACUUAAAGCCUAAGGCUUCAGACUUUUGAUCUGACACUCAAGCUUAGCACACAGGGGGAAUGUCUGUAAUAAGUCUGCCAUGAUGAGGUGUGUUUGCAGUGUUUAGAAUUGUUUGCUUUGAAUUGAUUAUGUCUAUUGCAGUGCCUAGCAUUAAGGAUUGUCAUUUUCUUGAUUAAGAACCUAUAGAGUGAAAUUGUAUUGAGUGAUUUGAGUGAAUAAAGCAUUGAAAAGGGCAGAAGCAG
rnacentral:lncRNA from 1 species